AGUCGAGCGGAAACGAGUUAUCUGAACCUUCGGGGAACGAUAACGGCGUCGAGCGGCGGACGGGUGAGUAAUGCCUAGGAAAUUGCCCUGAUGUGGGGGAUAACCAUUGGAAACGAUGGCUAAUACCGCAUGAUGCCUACGGGCCAAAGAGGGGGACCUUCGGGCCUCUCGCGUCAGGAUAUGCCUAGGUGGGAUUAGCUAGUUGGUGAGGUAAGGGCUCACCAAGGCGACGAUCCCUAGCUGGUCUGAGAGGAUGAUCAGCCACACUGGAACUGAGACACGGUCCAGACUCCUACGGGAGGCAGCAGUGGGGAAUAUUGCACAAUGGGCGCAAGCCUGAUGCAGCCAUGCCGCGUGUGUGAAGAAGGCCUUCGGGUUGUAAAGCACUUUCAGUCGUGAGGAAGGUAGUGUAGUUAAUAGCUGCAUUAUUUGACGUUAGCGACAGAAGAAGCACCGGCUAACUCCGUGCCAGCAGCCGCGGUAAUACGGAGGGUGCGAGCGUUAAUCGGAAUUACUGGGCGUAAAGCGCAUGCAGGUGGUUUGUUAAGUCAGAUGUGAAAGCCCGGGGCUCAACCUCGGAAUAGCAUUUGAAACUGGCAGACUAGAGUACUGUAGAGGGGGGUAGAAUUUCAGGUGUAGCGGUGAAAUGCGUAGAGAUCUGAAGGAAUACCGGUGGCGAAGGCGGCCCCCUGGACAGAUACUGACACUCAGAUGCGAAAGCGUGGGGAGCAAACAGGAUUAGAUACCCUGGUAGUCCACGCCGUAAACGAUGUCUACUUGGAGGUUGUGGCCUUGAGCCGUGGCUUUCGGAGCUAACGCGUUAAGUAGACCGCCUGGGGAGUACGGUCGCAAGAUUAAAACUCAAAUGAAUUGACGGGGGCCCGCACAAGCGGUGGAGCAUGUGGUUUAAUUCGAUGCAACGCGAAGAACCUUACCUACUCUUGACAUCCAGAGAACUUUCCAGAGAUGGAUUGGUGCCUUCGGGAACUCUGAGACAGGUGCUGCAUGGCUGUCGUCAGCUCGUGUUGUGAAAUGUUGGGUUAAGUCCCGCAACGAGCGCAACCCUUAUCCUUGUUUGCCAGCGAGUAAUGUCGGGAACUCCAGGGAGACUGCCGGUGAUAAACCGGAGGAAGGUGGGGACGACGUCAAGUCAUCAUGGCCCUUACGAGUAGGGCUACACACGUGCUACAAUGGCGCAUACAGAGGGCGGCCAACUUGCGAAAGUGAGCGAAUCCCAAAAAGUGCGUCGUAGUCCGGAUUGGAGUCUGCAACUCGACUCCAUGAAGUCGGAAUCGCUAGUAAUCGUGGAUCAGAAUGCCACGGUGAAUACGUUCCCGGGCCUUGUACACACCGCCCGUCACACCAUGGGAGUGGGCUGCAAAAGAAGUAGGUAGUUUAACCUUCGGGGGG
rnacentral:rRNA from 1 species